rnacentral:rRNA from 1 species
UGGGCAACCUGCCCCUAGCUCUGGGAUAACUGCGGGAAACUGUAGCUAAUACCGGAUGUGACACGGGACUGCAUGGUCUUCGUGUGGAAAGAUUUAUCGGCUAGGGAUGGGCCCGCGGUCUAUCAGCUUGUUGGUGGGUAAUGGCUCAACCCG